rnacentral:rRNA from 1 species
AACAACGCUGGCGGAGGCCUACACAUGCAUGUCGAGCGCGCCUUCGGGUGAGCGGCGGACGGGUUAGUAACGCGUGGGAACGUGCCCUUCUCUACGGAAUAGCCUCUGGAAACGGAGAGUAAUACCGUAUACGCCCUUUGGGGGAAAGAUUUAUCGGAGAAGGAUCGGGCCGCGUUAGAUUAUGUAGUUGGUGGGGUAACGGCCUACCAAGCCUACGAUCUAUAGCUGGUUUUAGAGGAUGAUCAGCAACACUGGGACUGAGACACGGCCCAGACUCCUACGGGAGGCAGCAGUGGGGAAUCUUAGACAAUGGGGGCAACCCUGAUCUAGCCAUGCCGCGUGAGUGAUGAAGGCCUUAGGGUCGUAAAGCUCUUUCGCCUGUGAUGAUAAUGACAGUAGCAGGUAAAGAAACCCCGGCUAACUCCGUGCCAGCAGACGAGGUAAUACGGAGGGGGUUAGAGUUGUUCGGAAUUACUGGGCGUAAAGCGCGCGUAGGCGGAUUAGAAAGUUGGGGGUGAAAUCCCGGGGAUCAACCCCGGAACUGACUCCAAAACUGCUAAUCUAGAGUACGAGAGAGGUGAGUGGAAUACCGAGUGUACAGGUGCAAUACGUAAAUAUUCGGAAGGAA